CGCUAAAUACCGCAUACGUCCUACGGGAGAAAGCAGGGGACCUUCGGGCCUUGCGCUAUCAGAUGAGCCUAGGUCGGAUUAGCUAGUUGGUGAGGUAAUGGCUCACCAAGGCGACGAUCCGUAACUGGUCUGAGAGGAUGAUCAGUCACACUGGAACUGAGACACGGUCCAGACUCCUACGGGAGGCAGCAGUGGGGAAUAUUGGACAAUGGGCGAAAGCCUGAUCCAGCCAUGCCGCGUGUGUGAAGAAGGUCUUCGGAUUGUAAAGCACUUUAAGUUGGGAGGAAG
rnacentral:rRNA from 1 species